UAUGGGGUAGGAAACAAUGCGUUAAGUGUUGAAGGGACGGAAUGUGACCUUCAAACGAAAACCAAUCGGCUUCGACUUGCUGAUUGGUUGCGGUGUUGUUUUCGCAUUCGCCAUU
rnacentral:ncRNA from 21 species